rnacentral:rRNA from 1 species
GAGGGACCUGCUUCCCAUCAGCUAGUUGGUGAGGUAAUGGCCCACCAAGGCUACGACGGGUAAGGGACCUGAGAGGGUGGUCCCUCGCAAUGGCACUGAAACACGGGCCAUACACCUACGGGUGGCAGCAGUAGGGAAUAUUGGGCAAUGGGCGAAAGCCUGACCCAGCAACGCCGCGUGCACGAUGAAGGCCUUCGGGUCGUAAAGUGCUUUUCUGAGGGAUGAGUAAGGACAGUACCUCAGGAAUAAGCCUCGGCUAACUACGUGCCAGCAGCCGCGGUAAAACGUAGGAGGCAAGCGUUAUCCGGAUUUACUGGGCGUAAAGCGUGUGUAGGCGGUUCGGCAAGUUGGAUGUGAAAGCUCCUGGCUUAACUAGGAGAGGUCGUUCAAUACUACCGAACUUGAGGGUAUCAGAGGAAGGUGGAAUUCCCGGUGUAGUGGUGAAAUGCGUAGAUAUCGGGAGGAACACCAGUGGCGAAGGCGGCCUUCUGGGAUAUUCCUGACGCUCAGACACGAAAGCCAGGGUAGCGAACGGGAUUAGAG